AAACAUUGAUAGGUUAAUACUUCCCCUAUCCGCCAGGGUACUACAAGCACCAGCUUAAAACCCAAAGGACUUGGCGGUGCUUUAGACCCACCUAGAGGAGCCUGUUCUAGAACCGAUACCCCCCGUUCAACCUCACCCUCCCUUGUUUAACCCGCCUAUAUACCGCCGUCGUCAGCUUACCCUGUGAAGGAUGAACAGUAAGCAGAAUUGGUACACCCCAAAACGUCAGGUCGAGGUGUAGCGUAUGAGAGGGGAAGAAAUGGGCUACAUUCGUUAAUUUAACGNACUUACGAAGACCAUAAUGAAACCGUGUGGUUAAAGGAGGAUUUAGCAGUAAGCAGAGAGUAGAGUNNUCC
rnacentral:rRNA from 1 species